GAACGUACAUCAUGAGAUACUUAAAAUAGUACCAUACACUUUAGAAUCAAACAAGGGAAGACUACUCAGAUAUAUCAUGUGCUAUAUAGGCUUUUCUGUUAUGUGUUUCAUAUGGAUUGAUAGAAAAUAGCACAGAAUUACAUCUUUGUGGUCCAGCCUGUGGUCUUCCUUUUGAUCCAUGUUUUGGAAUUAAAACAGUAAUUAUCUUAUUGUGUGUAGACACCUGAUUUACCACAAACUGCUAUGGCCAUAGAGUAACUGAGUGUUAAUGGCAAGUUGUUACCAAUAGCUCAGUUUUACAUUAUUUCCAGAGAUAAUUUCAUAAAAAGCAUUUUUCUUCCAGUU
rnacentral:lncRNA from 1 species